AUUGAACGCUGGCGGCAGGCCUAACACAUGCAAGUCGAGCGGAAGACGGAACCUUGCUUCUUGAUUCAGCGGCGGACGGGUGAGUAAUGCCUAGGAAUCUGCCUGGUAGUGGGGGACAACGCUGGGAAAGGAACGCUAAUACCGCAUACGUCCUACAGGAGAAAGCAGGGGACCUUCGGGCCUCGCGCUAUCAGAUGAGCCUAGGUCGGAGUAGCUAGUUGGUGGGGUAAUGGCUCACCAAGGCGACGAUCCGUAACUGGUCUGAGAGGAUGAUCAGUCACACUGGAACUGAGACACGGUCCAGACUCCUACGGGAGGCAGCAGUGGGGAAUAUUGGACAAUGGGCGAAAGCCUGAUCCAGCCAUGCCGCGUGUGUGAAGAAGGUCUUCGGAUUGUAAAGCACUUUAAGUUGGGAGGAAGGGCAGUAAGUUAAUACCUUGCUGUUUUGACGUUACCGACAGAAUAAGCACCGGCUAACUCUGUGCCAGCCGCCGCCGUAA
rnacentral:rRNA from 1 species